rnacentral:rRNA from 1 species
CAGCCGCCGCGGUAAUACGGAGGGUGCAAGCGCUAAUCGGAAUUACUGGGCGUAAAGCGCACGCAGGCGGUUUGUUAAGUCAGAUGUGAUAUCCCCGGGCUCAACCUGGGAACUGCAUCUGAUACUGGCAAGCUUGAGUCUCGUAGAGGGGGGUAGAAUUCCAGGUGUAGCGGUGAAAUGCGUAGAGAUCUGGAGGAAUACCGGUGGCGAAGGCGGCCCCCUGGACGAAGACUGACGCUCAGGUGCGAAAGCGUGGGGAGCAAACAGGAUUAGAUACCCCUGUAGUCCCUGUCUCUUAUAA